rnacentral:tRNA from 1 species
GAGGGUAUAGCUCAAGUGGUAGAGCACAUGCUUAGCAUGCACGAGGACAUGGGUUCAUUCCCCAGUACCUCCU